GUAUAUUUUGCAACAGGUAAGGUGAGAAUCCCUUAUUUCUACUCUGUUUGUAAAGUAAGACAGCACAGAUAGGCUAUAUCCCCACAGUCAUGUGUUUUUUGAUCAUGUCAAUAUGAAUAUCAUGGCUGGAAAAAGAUGUCCCUACUUCUGGAAAAUUGCUUCAUUCUUGAAGCCUCACAUUCAUGAUAGUGAAAUACCCUCAGUGAUUCACCAGAUGCUGUUCAAUUUUUUAACUCAGAAAAAAUAACAUUUUUUAUCUCAGAGGUGAAGUCAGCCAGAAUCUUGACACUUAUCCUGCCUGACACUCCCUUAGAAUAUAAGAAACUCAUCACUAGGAAAAAUUCUCAGAAUGAACUUUCCAGUCAGGCACUGGAAUGGGCUGCCCACAGAGAUGGUGGAGUCACUGUCACUGCAGGUAUCUAAGAAACAUGUAGAUGUGGUAUUGAGGGACAUGGAUUAGUGGGAAAUAUUGAUGGUAGGUGGACAGUUGGACUAGAUGAUCUCAGAGGUUCUUUCCAACCUUAAUGAUUCUAUGAUUUUAUGAUUUUAAAUCCACCCUUUGCUGCUUUUGGCUUUCCGUUGUACCAGUUUUGGCUGAGAUACAGUUAAUAUUCUUUAUCAAAGCUUGUAUGGUGCUAUGCUUUAGAUUUGUGACCAGAAGAAUGGUCAUAAUACAUUAAUGUUUCAGCUGUCUCUUAACAGCACUUACACAGCACCAAGGCCUUUUCUGUUUCUCUUACUGUCCUUCUAGCAUGAAGGCUGGGGGUGCACAAGAAGCUGGGAGGGGAAACAGGCCAGUAUAGGUAAUCCAAACUGACAAAGGAGAUUUACAUACUGUAAAACACCAUAUUCAGUAGUUAAAACUAGAUGAAAGGAGGAGGAAUGAGGCUGCAAGGAGAUGUAAGAUGAUGACAUUACCUUCCCAAGAAACUGAUAUGCAUAGAGUGCUCUGCUGUACUGGAAACGGCUGAACAUCUGCCUGCCAGUGAAAAGUAGUAAAUGAAUUCCUCAUCUUGCUUUCCUUGUGAAUACAGCUUUUGCUUUACUUGUCAAACUGUCUUUCAUACUUUACAGGCCUUGCACAAUUUUACAACAGUUGAUACAGGUUGUUUUUUUUAGCAAUAGGGAUUAGUACAUUAGUUUAAGGACCAAUAUAUUAGUUUAGCAAAAGAAAUUCAUAAGUGAUAGUUCUAAAACUUCCCAUGUCAGCUUUAGUGGGUGAACAGUCUUGUUUUUCCUCAAUAAUUUUGCACUGGGGACAUAACAGAAUACUUUAUCUUCUGCCUCAAUGAUUUUGCCUCAUGAGAAGUACUGGAGUCACAAUAGAAUACUUCUAUCUUCUGCUUCAAAAUGUGCAAGGACAUUUUCCUUGGGUUCCAUGUACGUUGUUUUUUUAAAAAGUGGCUCACAAGGGAAAUCUUCCAAACUGGGGAAAAGUGGAUGGAAGUGAGUCAAAGGCUUCAGUGAUUAAGCUGAUGGUGAAAAAAGGGGAAGAAGCAUGUGGACACUGGACUACCCUAGAUACCACUGAGCAUGCCCAAAGGGACAUUAGCAUGUACUUCUGAGUCCGUGAAAAAGAAUCAAUGUGUACGCCAACGUACUGCAUAUGCAUGUAUCAGCCGCUCAAAUGUAGAACCUGAACUCUGAGAGGGUGUGCUUUCUUGUCAAGUCGCCUGGGAUGUUAUCGUAUCGUGAGGAAUAAAAG
ensembl:lncRNA